GGAUAGCUCAGUUGGUGGGGUUAUGAGACUCUUAAUCUCAGGAUUGUGGGUUCAAACCUCACGUUGGCCA